AUUGAACGCUGGCGGCAGGCCUAACACAUGCAAGUCGAGCGGAUGAAGGGAGCUUGCUCCUGGAUUCAGCGGCGGACGGGUGAGUAAUGCCUAGGAAUCUGCCUGGUAGUGGGGGAUAACGUCCGGACACGGGCGCUAAUACCGCAUACGUCCUGAGGGAGAAAGUGGGGGAUCUUCGGACCUCACGCUAUCAGAUGAGCCUAGGUCGGAUUAGCUAGUUGGUGGGGUAAAGGCCUACCAAGGCGACGAUCCGUAACUGGUCUGAGAGGAUGAGCAGUCACACUGGAACUGAGACACGGUCCAGACUCCUACGGGAGGCAGCAGUGGGGAAUAUUGGACAAUGGGCGAAAGCCUGAUCCAGCCAUGCCGCGUGUGUGAAGAAGGUCUUCGGAUUGUAAAGCACUUUAAGUUGGGAGGAAGGGCAGUAAGUUAAUACCUUGCUGUUUUGACGUUACCAACAGAAUAAGCACCGGCUAACUUCGUG
rnacentral:rRNA from 1 species